GGUUCCAUGUACCAUUGGGAAUAUAGGGAAAGUAAAUGAGGCUAUUUGCAUGCCUGAUGAUAAAGAGGUUCCAUGUACCAUUGGAAUUAGGGGUUUUUGCUUCUCUUUUGAUUCUAUUUACUCGUUCAUCAAUCUAUAUGUCCUUUGAAGAGUGCUGUCAAAUAGGAUAUUGAUCUUUUCAAUUUCAUGUUUUUGAAUUUUAGCCAUUGGAGGGUGAGGCUGUUAUGAGCAAAUUUCAGAAGGUUUAUAAAAAAUUAAGCUGAGCUUUUAAAGGUGUGCCUUUUGAAGAAUUAAUGAAGUUAAAGAACAGAGACAUGGCGAAGAAAGGCUAUUUGGAACCGGGUGAAAGACUUUCAUUUGCUUACUGGAAUCCUUGUUAUAAGUCACAUUAUAUCCCCAAUAGUUGGCAGUGAAGACAAAGCACUGCAAGCAAGCCGACAUUUAUUACCAGCUGGAUUCCACGUGACGGCAAUCAGACCACCAACAGUGCCUCCUAACUCAUGCAGGCUACAUGGAAUAUGGGUUUGCUUUCAGUAGUAGAGCAGUGAAAGUGCUCAAUCUGUUUUCAAAUUAGAUGAUCUACAUUCCUACGACAAAUAAUGAAGUGGAAACAGGAUGUUGCAAAGCCAGGUCAUAGUCGAGUCGAGUACAAAUAGAGAAAUGAUAUUGUUGCGCUGUAUUCAAGACUCAGUGCAUUCUCGAACUAUCAGGGACUUACACUUGAGGUUGAGACCCUUCAAACUUUUGGUGGUGUAUUAGCUACCAUCCCAGAAAAGCGAUCCAAUCCAAGGUAGUAUCUACUACCUGCUAUAUCAUCCGCAGGAACUGCUGCAAAAAUUUCUCUCAGCUCCUCUUCUGAUAGUUUCACUGAUAAGGCACCAAGGUUUUGAUCCAGAUUCUUAAUCUUAGUUGUUUCUAACAGUAAGACGAGAAAUCACAUUUCUGAUACUAUUAGGAUAUAUAUACUAGAUUAAAUAUGUUUCGUUAAAUGCAGGUUAAAAGGGUGGCUGAAACAAAACCAAACCAAUCUCAGAUUUUGGCCAACAUAUUAGGAUGACUAAAUGAUUUACUUAUUGUUUUUUCCUUUCCGUUCACCAACAACAUAAUUGCUGAGUACAUAUGGUAUUUUGUUCUACUCAGUCUUUGUUAGUAUUUAUUUCACAGUAUUUGAUUCUUACCAGUAUCGAUGUGUUUAGUGUACAUGUCUUGUUGGUGCUCUUGUUAGAGCAGCGAGUCACUGCCCUUCUGGACAAACUAUUAGUUAAACCAUCUCUUGUGAAUAUACCUUCCAUGGAGGAAGGUGGGCUCCUAUUCGUGAGUAUAAUUAACUUACUGACUUCAUUAUUAUCAUCUAAGUGCCAGUUUAGACUGCAGGCUGAUCUCAAUGUAAUCUGCAUUUGGUUUGAGGAUGCAGUAUAUUUGAAUGCUGGCGGUGGCGUAUGAAAAAAACCCAAGAAAUUGCUAGAGAUCUCCGAGUUGUAGGAUGCGGUGACUUGGAUGUUGAAGGCCUGACAGAGUCCCUGUUUUCAAAUCACAAGGAUGAAUAUCCUGAAUAUGAGCAGGCAUCUCUCAGACAGUUAUAUAAAGUGAAGGUGGAAUGCAGAUGGAAGAAUUGCGAGCUGAAAGCCAGAUUUCUGAUUCAUCUGGGACUGGGACAAUUGGACGUUCAAAGGGAGCUGCGGUAGCUUCUUCUCAGCAGCAAACAUCUGUCACUGUCGUAACAGAGUUUGUACGUUGGAAUGAAGAAGCAAUCUCAAGAUGCAAUCUCUUUUCCUCCCAGCCUGCUACACUGGCAUCCCAUGUAAAAGCAGCGUUUACUUGCCUGUUAGACCAAGUAAGUAAACUUCACAAUUUGUCAGCAUUCAGAUAUUUUAUACAUUUAGUUGGCAGAAGCUCAUUCUUCUGGGGUCAUUCUUGAUGUA